rnacentral:rRNA from 1 species
UACGUAGGGUGCGAGCGUUAAUCGGAAUUACUGGGCGUAAAGCGUGCGUAGGCGGUUCGUUAUGUCCGAUGUGAAAGCCCCGAGCUUAACUUGGGAAUGGCAUUGGAAACUGGCGGGCUGGAGUGCGGCAGAGGGGGGUGGAAUUCCACGUGUAGCAGUGAAAUGCGUAGAGAUGUGGAGGAACACCGAUGGCGAAGGCAGCCCCCUGGGCCGACACUGACGCUCAGGCACGAAAGCGUGGGGAGCAAACAGG